ACGCGGCAUAGCAAUUUUGCGUUCUACAAGGACAACACGUGUGUGUUAUUAAUUUAAAUAUAAAAACGAGUGCUCCUUUAUCAAACUCGAGGACAAUAUAAGAUAAGAUGAGUACAUUGACUGCACGACAACGGCGAUAAUUUCGACAUUUUAAUAUUCAAGCGAGAUAUAUGUGUUAUCAAAUCGAGAUAUUUCACACAAUUAUCUUUUGCUGUUAAAUCUAACAUUGCAAAAUGGUUCCUGCCGAACGGCGAACGCGAAUUUGCUUCGUCGUUUUAAGCGCCCGUAGGACAACACACGCUGGUAUCACGUCUGCUCAACAUUUAUUAUAUAUUCCUG